GUUUCGGCAAGGGGGUCAUCCCGACUUACCAACCCGAUGCAAACUGCGAAUACCGGAGAAUGUUAUCACGGGAGACACACGGCGGGUGCUAACGUCCGUCGUGAAGAGGGAAACAACCCAGACCGCCAGCUAAGGUCCCAAAGUCAUGGUUAAGUGGGAAACGAUGUGGGAAGGCCCAGACAGCCAGGAUGUUGGCUUAGAAGCAGCCAUCAUUUAAAGAAAGCGUAAUAGCUCACUGGUCGAGUCGGCCUGCGCGGAAGAUGUAACGGGGCUAAACCAUGCACCGAAGCUGCGGCAGCGACACUAUGUGUUGUUGGGUAGGGGAGCGUUCUGUAAGCCUGUGAAGGUGUACUGUGAGGUAUGCUGGAGGUAUCAGAAGUGCGAAUGCUGACAUAAGUAACGAUAAAGCGGGUGAAAAGCCCGCUCGCCGGAAGACCAAGGGUUCCUGUCCAACGUUAAUCGGGGCAGGGUGAGUCGACCCCUAAGGCGAGGCCGAAAGGCGUAGUCGAUGGGAAACAGGUUAAUAUUCCUGUACUUGGUGUUACUGCGAAGGGGGGACGGAGAAGGCUAUGUUGGCCGGGCGACGGUUGUCCCGGUUUAAGCGUGUAGGCUGGUUUUCCAGGCAAAUCCGGAAAAUCAAGGCUGAGGCGUGAUGACGAGGCACUACGGUGCUGAAGCAACAAAUGCCCUGCUUCCAGGAAAAGCCUCUAAGCAUCAGGUAACAUCAAAUCGUACCCCAAACCGACACAGGUGGUCAGGUAGAGAAUACCAAGGCGCUUGAGAGAACUCGGGUGAAGGAACUAGGCAAAAUGGUGCCGUAACUUCGGGAGAAGGCACGCUGAUAUGUAGGUGAAGCGACUUGCUCGUGGAGCUGAAAUCAGUCGAAGAUACCAGCUGGCUGCAACUGUUUAUUAAAAACACAGCACUGUGCAAACACGAAAGUGGACGUAUACGGUGUGACGCCUGCCCGGUGCCGGAAGGUUAAUUGAUGGGGUUAGCGCAAGCGAAGCUCUUGAUCGAAGCCCCGGUAAACGGCGGCCGUAACUAUAACGGUCCUAAGGUAGCGAAAUUCCUUGUCGGGUAAGUUCCGACCUGCACGAAUGGCGUAAUGAUGGCCAGGCUGUCUCCACCCGAGACUCAGUGAAAUUGAACUCGCUGUGAAGAUGCAGUGUACCCGCGGCAAGACGGAAAGACCCCGUGAACCUUUACUAUAGCUUGACACUGAACAUUGAGCCUUGAUGUGUAGGAUAGGUGGGAGGCUUUGAAGUGUGGACGCCAGUCUGCAUGGAGCCGACCUUGAAAUACCACCCUUUAAUGUUUGAUGUUCUAACGUUGACCCGUGAUCCGGGUUGCGGACAGUGUCUGGUGGGUAGUUUGACUGGGGCGGUCUCCUCCUAAAGAGUAACGGAGGAGCACGAAGGUUGGCUAAUCCUGGUCGGACAUCAGGAGGUUAGUGCAAUGGCAUAAGCCAGCUUGACUGCGAGCGUGACGGCGCGAGCAGGUGCGAAAGCAGGUCAUAGUGAUCCGGUGGUUCUGAAUGGAAGGGCCAUCGCUCAACGGAUAAAAGGUACUCCGGGGAUAACAGGCUGAUACCGCCCAAGAGUUCAUAUCGACGGCGGUGUUUGGCACCUCGAUGUCGGCUCAUCACAUCCUGGGGCUGAAGUAGGUCCCAAGGGUAUGGCUGUUCGCCAUUUAAAGUGGUACGCGAGCUGGGUUUAGAACGUCGUGAGACAGUUCGGUCCCUAUCUGCCGUGGGCGCUGGAGAACUGAGGGGGGCUGCUCCUAGUACGAGAGGACCGGAGUGGACGCAUCACUGGUGUUCGGGUUGUCAUGCCAAUGGCACUGCCCGGUAGCUAAAUGCGGAAGAGAUAAGUGCUGAAAGCAUCUAAGCACGAAACUUGCCCCGAGAUGAGUUCUCCCUGACUCCUUGAGAGUCCUGAAGGAACGUUGAAGACGACGACGUUGAUAGGCCGGGUGUGUAAGCGCAGCGAUGCGUUGAGCUAACCGGUACUAAUGAACCGUGAGG
rnacentral:rRNA from 1 species